GGCUUGCUCGCCGAGCGCCAGCCACCGAGGAGUUUCUUACAGCGGUGUGGGUGCUCUCGAAGCAACCGCACCACUACACUGCAAAGGCUCACCCCAGCACCUUUGUGGAUUUCUCUGUGGUCGCACAGACGGACCCCUUCAUCAGGCAACCUUCCUCGGUCUAUAAGCCCUAGCACCUUCGGAGGCCACGAGGCCGUACGCAAUGAAGGUGGAGCCACACGCAGCCGGCUGGCAGGUUCAGGAGGCGGUGGCUUGAUUCUCAGGUGAGGGUCCGCCGACCGCCCCCAUCGCUCUCCUUCUAUGCGGAGAAUAACAGUCAGCAGACCGAAUCUCACGGCUUUAACAAACUCUCUGAUGUCGGGGAAGGUAGAACCGGUGCCUCUUUCAGGACAAGACAAGGUGUCAGAAGACAAAGCUGCCGUGUCUACAGCAAGACAAUGCCUCCUGGAAAGAAAAAGCCCACCUUUCAGAGGCACGGCAUCCGAGCUCACCCGCAUCUGUGCUUGGGUGUAAAGGUUGCUCUAUGCCAGUCCCCUCAGUGAUGUCAGAUUCCGAGGAGGUGGUCCCUGCGAGUUGCAUCUCUUUACGAAUCUUGCAUGACAGCACGCCUCUCCUUAAGCAUUGGUAAUCUGUUUGAUGUUCACAGAGAUGGAUGAGGGGCCUUGGGUGUCAGCAAAGAAGCCGACAGACGGCGAUGGUGGCAAUAAAUAAUCGUAAUGCUUCCCACUUGCGUGGCCUUGACAAUUCAAGGGUCUCAAAACAUAGCUGAAAGUUCGAAUUAUUGAAAAAGGGCAACUCGUUCAUCCUUCCAACGUCUCACUAGAGAGCUCGGAGGAAGCGAGAUGCCCUCAUAAACCCCUGGCCCUAACUGCUGGCUUCCUGUUCCCUGGGUGAAGAGUGACAAGAUACAGCUUUUCCGUUGCGCUAGGAGGAGGGGAAACUUUGACGUUCAAGGGCAGAGGAUCCAGUGAACUCCAGAGCCCGCCUGGUGAAAUGAGUAAGUUGAUGGCAGCUUGGCUGUCUGAGCGCCAGGUUGGGAGCAAAUACCAUUUCUGACCACCAGAGGGAGCCCUGGCAGGAGACUGCUGCGGGCACAGACCGUUCACUGCACGGACACGACCUGGUUGCUAAGCCCUCUCUUGGAACCCACGUUCUUAGCUGCCUCCACCUCGCAAGUCGGGCCGGGGGCUUCUGACACACUGACUCUUCCUCCUCAUGAGCUGUUGGUCUCAUGAGCUGGGCAAAGGGGAUAAAAGGUAGUGACCAGAGGUGAGGAAGCUUUCCUCGUGGGGAAGGUGGGAUGGGAUCCCCACAUGAUCCAGUUCUAAUCCUCAGUCUGAUGUGGAUGUCCUGCAUACCAGUUUCAGUGACAGUGUGAAACCUUAGCUCUUCUCAGAGUGGUAUGGAAUCUGUACAGCUCCCUGCCUUCUCCAGAGUCCUAUAAUCUUAAUAUUCCUGCCAAUCCACACAGGGGAGACUCCUGUUGUCUACAUACAUGAAUCUUCUUUCCUUGCCUCUCUCCAAAAAUAGUUAUUUGGCUAGAAAAGCUGAAGCUGCCUGCCUUCUAUCCACAUAGAUCCUUAUUAAUAUAUUUGCUCUUAAGGCACAAAUUAAAAGAGGACGGUGGUCCCAGGUCCCUCGGGACACAGCACAGCAUCCUAAACAAGUAAGCCGAACCGAAAUGAAGGUUUUAAACCUGACAGUUUUCUUCUCUUACUCCUUCAAAGUGAGAAAAAAAAAAUUUAAAAAAAAAAAAAGGUGUCAUCAGGUGUGAUGAUUGUGAGCCUCUAAUCCCAGUGCUCGGAAGACAGCGGCGGAUGGAUCUCUGUGACUUCAAGGCUAACCUGGUCUACACAGUGAGCUCCAGGACAGCCAGGGCUACAUAGUGAGAUCCUAUCUGGAAGGAAGAGAGAGAGAAAGAAAGAAAGAAAAAGAAAGGACAAAAAGAAAAGGCAGGCUGAGGCUAUGGCCUUACUGUACAAACCCAGCAACCUUAAUUCAGGUUCUCAGAAGCUGUGUAAGAAGCAGACUCAUUAGGACACCUGUCCAUAAUUCAAGCAGGCCCCUGGGGCAUGAACGAUGGAGACCUGAAAAUUCAUGACAAGCUUACAGAGCAGCUAGCCUAGCCAGCAGAGCAGUGAAAAAGAGACCCUGCCUCAAAUGAGGUAGACGGUGGAGUAAUGACACCCAAUUUGUGCUCUGACCUGUUAUGUUAUGGUUCAGACACACACACACACACACACACACACACACAAAUUGCUGUGUAAUCAGAAACUGAUUUUUUCAAGCAACAAAUACCAGCAGAGGCAGGUGGAUCUCUGUGAUUUCAAGGCUAACCUGGCCUGCACAGUAAGUUCCAGGACAGCCAGGGCUACAUAGUGAGUCCCUAGCUCAAACAACAACAAAUGCCAUUGAAUAGAUAAACAACAGCAGAUAACAAACGAUUAAAACAAAAAAGGAAGCCCUUUCUACCAAAGUCUGUUUGUGCUCAGUCCUACUGUCCUAAGUAUCAACAAAGAAAUAAGAAAGCAUCAAAGGGAGGCAGAGGGCCAACGCAUGUUGGUAUAAUAAUCUGGUUUAUAAUCCCAGAAACAGAGGCAGGAGGAUGAUAUAUUUAAAGUGAGAUCUUUCAUCAGAAACACAAAAACAGAAAAUGUAUAGAAAGAAUCUCAUACAAGGUUUUCAAAAAGUAUAACUGUUCAUAAGGAUUCAAGCUGCUGGUCUUCCAGGCAUAAAAAGAAAACUCACCAGAAAAAAAAAUUCAAAGAUCAUAGCACAGCAGCACUCUGCCAUCUGGUGGCCAAAGGUGAGAUAGCCCAUCGCGUUCGUGCAAUAGACUGAAAACUGAGUCACGUGUAAAGUAUGGCAUUCGUUAACAAAACAGUUUUGUCGACUCAGAAUCCUGAAACGGCAAGUCCAGCUUUGAAAAGUCUCCGUUUUGCUUCACAGGCAACGAAGGAAGGCUCUUAAAAGUGCGUGCUUAAACAAACCUAUCUGGGGGCUAGCAAAAUGGCUCAGCGUUUAAGGGGGCUCACUGCUCUCCCGAAGGACCCUAGCUCUGUUCCCUGCACCCAUGUUGGGAAGCUCCAGAAGAUCCAAUCCCUCUGGCCUUUCAGGAAGUGUGUUCUCAGAACUUUCCAGAAAUCAUUGUCUGGUGGUGGUUUUGGUUCCGUGGGUGGACAGGUGGUAGGCAUAUUCAUUUUGUUGAGACGGGGUCUUAUUGUAUAGCCAGGGCUGUCUUCAAACUUGGGACCGUCCUGCCUCAGCUUCCCAAACGCUCAGUUAGCAACAUGCACCUCCAUGUCCAACUGCAA